GUUUCGGUCCUACAGAUAAAACUCAGGGAGGAAGGCUUUGAGUCUGUCCUAAAAGGCUGUUGCGAGAGGUCUUUCAGCCCCCGUUUUUACCAUGUCCCUCUGCAGUCCUGGCGCAGCAAGAGUGAGGCGCAGGCCUGCGGAACGGGUCCUGCUGGAAGCAGCUGGAAUGCCCUGCAGGGCGGGGUCCGGGGCCGGUGACUCAGUGCGGCUGCCGCCGGGAAAGGCAGUAGGAUGUGUGAUUUGCGGAGUUCACGCAGCCCGCAGGGGAGAUGCUAAUGAAAUGACAGCAAAACGUUAAAAUAAGCAGAAACUGCUGGAGCGAACCCGUGCCAGGCGAGAGAAUCUUCAGAGAAAAAUGGCUGAGAGGCCCACAGCAGCUCCAAGGUCUAUGACUCAUGCUAAGCGAGCUAGACAGCCACUUUCAGAAGCAAGUAACCAGCAGCCCCUCUCUGGUGGUGAAGGU
rnacentral:lncRNA from 1 species